rnacentral:snRNA from 1 species
AGAAAGGGCUCGUACAAAUGUAGGCCGUGGUCGCCGUUGACGCCACGGUCAGGAAUCGCAAUCAAGAGAUUCCUCGAGCAAAAUUUUUGGAAUAGGGGCCGACUGGGAUCGCCUGUCGCGGUCGGUCCU